rnacentral:rRNA from 1 species
AACGAACGCUGGCGGCAUGCCUAACACAUGCAAGUCGAACGAGACCUUCGGGUCUAGUGGCGCACGGGUGCGUAACGCGUGGGAACCUGCCCUUAGGUUCGGAAUAACUCCCCGAAAGGGGUGCUAAUACCGGAUAAUGUCUUCGGGCCAAAGAUUUAUCGCCUUUGGAUGGGCCCGCGUUGGAUUAGCUAGUUGGUAGGGUAAAAGCCUACCAAGGCGACGAUCCAUAGCUGGUCUGAGAGGAUGAUCAGCCACACUGGGACUGAGACACGGCCCAGACUCCUACGGGAGGCAGCAGUGGGGAAUAGUGGACAAUGGGCGAAAGCCUGAUCCAGCAAUGCCGCGUGAGUGAUGAAGGCCUUAGGGUUGUAAAGCUCUUUUACCCGGGAUGAUAAUGACAGUACCGGGAGAAUAAGCUCCGGCUAACUCCGUG